GGAGUAAUGCAUUUUUAGUUCGCUUAAUGUAUAAGAAAAAGACUUACAUCAGACGUGUAUUAAUGUUGUUUCAUUUAAAAGCAUCAAUUUGGGGAUAUAAUGUAUUGGUUUAUAUUAUUCACGAAUCAAUAUAUAAGCUUUAUCGAUGUAGAUUUAACCUGGCUAUCCCCCCCUUUCUCGCACAUGGUCCGGUCCAGUUCAAAGCUCCAAGCGGGAGGAGGAAGCUAGCUGUGUUUUGUUGAUGUUUCUUGGGGAAGAAAACGCUCCACAGGAUGGACAUGGCUACGUCUUUGAAGUCUCUGUUGCUGGCUGUCCAGCAGUACAGAGACGGCAGGACAGCGCAAAACGCAGCGCAGCUACAGAAACAAGUGGAGGAGGUCUCGGGCCUUAAAUGUGACCAGCUGCUGUCCUCAGGCCAGGUUCUGCCCCGGGAGUGUGG